GCAUAUCAAUAAGCGGAGGAAAAGAAACCAACCGGGAUUGCCUUAGUAACGGCGAGUGAAGCGGCAAAAGCUCAAAUUUGAAAUCUGGUACCUUUGGUGCCCGAGUUGUAAUUUGGAGAGGGCAACUUUGGGACCGUUCCUUGUCUAUGUUCCUUGGAACAGGACGUCAUAGAGGGUGAGAAUCCCGUGUGGCGAGGAGUGCGGUUCUAUGUAAAGUGCCUUCGAAGAGUCGAGUUGUUUGGGAAUGCAGCUCUAAGUGGGUGGUAAAUUCCAUCUAAAGCUAAAUAUUGGCGAGAGACCGAUAGCGAACAAGUACAGUGAUGGAAAGAUGAAAAGAACUUUGAAAAGAGAGUGAAAAAGUACGUGAAAUUGUUGAAAGGGAAGGGCAUUUGAUCAGACAUGGUGUUUUGCGCCCUCUGCUCCUUGUGGGUGGGGGAAUCUCGCAGUUCACUGGGCCAGCAUCAGUUUUGGUGGCAGGAUAAAUCCGUAGGAAUGUAACUUGCUUCGGGAAGUAUUAUAGCCUAUGGGAAUACUGCCAGCUGGGACUGAGGACUGCGACGUAAGUCAAGGAUGCUGGCAUAAUGGUUAUAUGCCGCCCGUCU
rnacentral:rRNA from 1 species